rnacentral:rRNA from 1 species
UCCAGACUCCUACGGGAGGCAGCAGUGGGGAAUAUUGCACAAUGGGGGGAACCCUGAUGCAGCGACGCCGCGUGAGCGAAGAAGUAUUUCGGUAUGUAAAGCUCUCUCAGCAGGGAAGAAAUUGACGGUACCUGAGUAAGAAGCUCCGGCUAAAUACGUGCCAGCAGCCGCGGUAAUACGUAUGGAGCAAGCGUUAUCCGGAUUUACUGGGUGUAAAGGGAGCGUAGGCGGCCUGCCAAGUCUGAUGUGAAAUACCGGGGCUCAACCCCGGGGCUGCAUUUGAAACUGUUGGUCUUGAGUAUCGGAGAGGCAGGCGGAAUUCCUAGUGUAGCGGUGAAAUGCGUAGAUAUUAGGAGGAACACCAGUGGCGAAGGCGGCCUGCUGGACGACAACUGACGGUGAGGCGCGAAAGCGUGGGGAGCAACCAGGAUUAGAUACCCGAGUAGC